GUUAUACAAAAUACCCCUUGCUCAUUAAUAAAUAAUAGUCCUCUAUUAUUUCUACUCAAUUCCAACGGAUUACCCUAAAAAUCAAAUGGCAAGUCAGUUUCAAGAAGUCUUGGUUUUCUGCUCAAUCACUCCAAGAUGCUAAGGCUUUUUGAAAUAGAUUAUAUGAAUAUUCAGGUCAGUCUGUUUUCUGCAGUGACUCAUAAUUGGGAUUCAGACAGGACCAGACUUGUCUGCUGAUGUGGUAUGGCAGGCCUGCCAGAAGGCUUGCUUUGUUUUGUUGGUUGAAAAGGAAAGAGGCAGGCGCCCAAGUCCCAAAGGGAAGCAGCUGUAGGGUAAAGGGUUAGAAUUUCAGCGGCAUUCCUUGGGCAGCCCCGUGGGUGUGGGGUUGAGUCGAUGGAGAGAACAGCUGCAGGCAGAAGCUGAAGGAACUGUUUUUAUAGGGGCCUCUGUGUGACACCCUGAGACAUGAGGAUGUGGGCAGUGCCACGAUUAUGCCCAGGAAAGAAAACCAUGUGGAUAGCUGAGAUCUUCUGUGAAGAAAGGAAAAGACAAAAGGCCGUAGAUCCAAAACUUAUAGAAAAUCAACGUUUAGAAUUUCAACUGUGGAGGAAGGACCAAAAAAAUGCAAGAAGCAGGUUCUGCUUCUGUGGAAACCCAACCUGCAAACCACUGAAAAGAGUGGAAUACCCUCUCUAA
rnacentral:lncRNA from 1 species